AGUGAACGCUGGCGGUAGGCCUAACACAUGCAAGUCGAACGGCAGCACAGUAAGAGCUUGCUCUUACGGGUGGCGAGUGGCGGACGGGUGAGGAAUACAUCGGAAUCUACUUUUUCGUGGGGGAUAACGGAGGGAAACUUACGCUAAUACCGCAUACGACCUACGGGUGAAAGCAGGGGAUCUUCGGACCUUGCGCGAUUGAAUGAGCCGAUUUCGGAUUAGCUAGUUGGCGGGGUAAAGGCCCACCAAGGCGACGAUCCGUAGCUGGUCUGAGAGGAUGAUCAGCCACACUGGAACUGAGACACGGUCCAGACUCCUACGGGAGGCAGCAGUGGGGAAUAUUGGACAAUGGGCGCAAGCCUGAUCCAGCCAUACCGCGUGGGUGAAGAAGGCCUUCGGGUUGUAAAGCCCUUUUGUUGGGAAAGAAAAGCAGCAGGUUAAUACCCCGCUGUUCUGACGGUACCCAAAGAAUAAGCACCGGCUAACUUCGUG
rnacentral:rRNA from 1 species